rnacentral:rRNA from 1 species
CAGCCGUAAACUAUGCUCGCUAGGUGUCAGGCAUGGCGCGACCGUGUCUGGUGCCGCAGGGAAGCCGUGAAGCGAGCCACCUGGGAAGUACGGCCGCAAGGCUGAAACUUAAAGGAAUUGGCGGGGGAGCACAACAACGGGUGGAGCCCGCGGUUUAAUUGGACUCAACGCCGGACAACUCACCGGGGACGACAGCAAUAUGUAGGCCAGGCUGAAGACCUUGCCUGAAUCGCUGAGAGGAGGUGCAUGGCGUAGACGUCU